AGGAGUGUAGCUCAACUGGUAGAGCACCGGUCUCCAAAACCGGGGGUUGGAGGUUCGAGUCCUCUCACUCCUGCCA
rnacentral:tRNA from 1 species